UGGUAUUUCUCACUGCGGAAGCGCCUAAAAUCAAACCCUCUGACCCGCCAUCAAUGGGGGCUCGCCGCGGCCGACGGCGAUCUCUCAUCUUUCCCUCCGCCACACCGCGUCCUCAUUAAGCACACGCGCAAGGUCGCGCCCCCUCGGCAUCCAGCAGACGAGCCUCUCUCUCGCCCGCAGGUGCGGCGCCGGCCCAUUCCUUCCGCAGUUCCAUUCCCACGGGAUCUGAUCCGGUGACUAUUUGCACGCGUCGCCGUCGUCGGGAGCUCGUUCUCGCGGCGCGAUUACGAUCUUCGGACACCCUUACCCGAGCCUCUCCGCCCGACAACUUCGUCCUCAUUCCUCAGCGAGCGCCCUUGCUGCACCCUGCAUCCCAAGAAGACCUUGUUUGCUUCGUCCAAGACCUUGUCACCGUGCUUGAUCAGUUUGUUGGAGUACCAUGACAGGAAAAACUUCCCCUUCUCGGUGAGGUAUGUUCCGUUGUCCUUGAAGAAUUGGGUUUUCUCGGGAGUGUCGUUGUACUCUCCAGCAUCGUCUGGCAAUUCCCACUCAGGAUGGCCAGCCUUUGCCGCUGCUGCUUUGAAGUCUGCUUCCAGGAGAACUGGAAUGGCGAUUUAGCUUAGCUAACCUGGACGGCUGUUCUUCCAUGGAAGAGAGGCUGGUCAUCCACUCCAAGGGUGAGGUACUCGAUGUUCCUCGUCCCGCCCCGGUUGGUGUAGAAAAUGUCCGGGUCGGUGGCGCCGACGUCGCGCACCCACUGUGGGAUGGGGAUGUUGACGAUGUCUACGACGUUGCCACCGCACUGGUGGAACGACAUGAUGGCCUGCAGCUUGAGCCCGGCCUCGUGCACCAGGUCGAAGACCUGCUUGUAGGCGCUCCAGUCGUACGCCUUGGGGCCCUUGCCCUCCACCAGCCCCCACCAGACGUCUAUCAUGACGCCGUCCACGCCGGCCUCCGUCAGCUUCUUCAGCUGCGCCCUGGUCUCAUCGCCCUUCUCGAACUUGUUGUCGACGCUCACGACGUCCAGCUAUUCUCACAGUGGAAGUGAAGACAAGGGGAGCUCGAGGGGUCUAUUUAUACUGCGAAAGAGGGAGGAGGAGGGCGGGUCCUUCUCCAGCGAGGCGAGGUGAACUGCUUGGUUUUGGUUACCGCUCACAGCCCCAGCUUCAGGGUUGAUAUCAUAUUUUCCUUGUCACUAGGAGAAGAUUGGGUAUCUGAGUGUUCUGAUUCGUUCACGUGUGUUUAGAGCGGCAAGCCAACAGUAUAUCAGGUUUAAAUACGUUAUCCGGGGAAAAAAAUACAGGGUCGUCACGUAUGUACGACUAGGACAAAGUUCUCAUUGUCUCUGGAUUCUGGCAAAAGCCGAAGCCACGAGCCCAUAAAAUAGUUCCUAUGUUUCUU